ACGGAAGGCAGCAGUGGGGGAUAUUGCACAAUGGAGGAAACUCUGAUGCAGCAACGCCGCGUGAGGGAAGAAGGUUUUCGGAUUGUAAACCUCUGUUUUUAGUGAAGAAACAAAUGACGGUAGCCAAAGAGGAAGCCACGGCUAACUACGUGCCAGCAGCCGCGGUAAUACGUAGGUGGCAAGCGUUGUCCGGAAUUACUGGGUGUAAAGGGAGCGCAGGCGGGACUGCAAGUUGGAUGUGAAAUACCGAGGCUUAACUUCGGGGCUGCAUCCAAAACUGUAGUUCUUGAGUGAAGUAGAGGUUGGCGGAAUUCCGAGUGUAGCGGUGAAAUGCGUAGAUAUUCGGAGGAACACCAGUGGCGAAGGCGGCCAACUGGGCUUUAACUGACGCUGAGGCUCGAAAGUAUGGGGAGCAAACAGGAUUAGAUACCCUGGUA
rnacentral:rRNA from 1 species